CUACGGGCCGCAGCAGUCGAGAAUAUUCCACAAUGGGGGAAACCCUGAUGGAGCGACGCCGCGUGCAGGAUGAAGGUCUUCGGAUUGUAAACUGCUUUUCCCACUGAAAAAGUUAUUGAUAUUAGGUGGGGAAUAAAGGGCUGCUAAACUCGUGCCAGCAGCAGCGGUAAUACGAGUGCCCUAAGCGUUAUCCGGAUUUAUUGGGCGUAAAGCGUGUGUAGGGGGCCUGGUGCGUCUUUCUGUGAAAUCUCAGUGCUUAACAUUGAGGCUGCAGGAGAUACGAUCAGGCUAGAGGGUGUCAGAGGCCACUGGAACGCACAGUGUAGGGGUGAAAUCCGUUGAUAUUGUGCGGAACACCGAAGGCGAAGGCAGGUGGCUGGGGCAUUCCUGACCCUAAGACGCGAAAGCGUGGGUAGCAAAAAGGAUUAGAUACCCGGGUAGUC
rnacentral:rRNA from 1 species